rnacentral:lncRNA from 1 species
UAGAGGAGCAUCUAGGCGAUGCCACCGCCGCGCUGAAAGAACUACGCGUAGUAUUCGUCAUGUCUGUAUUUCAGCGCUCUUCUUUAUGUCUGUCGUAAUGGGUUGUAAUUAUCCUCGAGUCUAUGAGGUGGUGUCGGUGAACAUCUUCGGUCAGUGGUUAUGUUUGCGAGAACAAGAAAAACCUAUCGUGGUCUGUGGUCAUCGCUUGUCAAACUGAAUCUUAAUCGUCAAGUGGAUGCUUUGCUUGGUUAUCAUCUUCCUGUUCUGAUUGUUGCUGUGUUAUUUGAGCUUCUUUGUUGAAGCUUAAUGUGUUGGAUGCUGGUUCUUUAAGAUUGGAAACAUUUGCAGAUUUCUGUUGAGCUAGAUUGGCUCUCUUGCAGAUUUCUGUUUGGUUAUAUAUUUCUGUUGUGCCUGAGAGAGCAAAUAAAUUGAAAUUGUUGUGGGCCUCUGAUUUCUGAAGAUGUAGAUGAUAAGGAAGUGUCUCAUUCAGAGGGUGAGGGGCCUGGAGCCACUCAUGAUCUUGUGGUCUUAUCCACCAAGUGGUCUUCCAAAAUAGCAGAAAAUCCUGGCGCCUCAUGUUUGCUUCUCAACCUGAUAAGAAAAGCACUACUUGUAGCUUGUCAUCACCACUUGCAUCUAGCUUCUUGUUUCUCCUCCUUGCAGCUGCUCCCCCCUGCUCCAGCCAUGGCGAAGCCGAUAUCGAUAGAGGUGUGGAACCCCAGCGGCAAGUACCGCGUGGUGAGCACCAAGUCCAUGCCCGGCACCCGCUGGAUCAAGCUCCUCACUGGCAACGACUGCCGCCUCGAGGUGCCCUGCUCUGUUUCUUUGUUGUUCCUUGCUCUGUUUCAUUGCUGUUGCUUGCUCUGUUUGAUUGCUAUGAUGAUAACAGAUGCUGAAUUUUCUUACAUGUUGAGCGCGCAGAUAUGCACGGAGAAGAAGACCAUCCUCUCUGUUGACGACAUACUGGCACUCAUCGGUGAUCACUGCCAUGGUGUCAUCGGCCAGGCAAGCAACCCCAGCUUGUUAUUCCUUUCCUUUAUGAAUUUUCUUGUCGUGGGUUAGGUUACUGUCCUAAAAAGUUUCCUAAAAACUGUGGUUAAGGUCAUAUAUAGUUUGUUAUCCUUUUAACAACACUCUUCUUUAUGUCUUGUUUCAAGUAUUCAAUUAGUUAUCAAUCUGGAUGACGACUUGUGUGGCACAAAUUGGCUGCAGCUAACAGAGGACUGGGGGGAAGUGCUCUUCUCUGCGCUCAAGCGUGCCGGCGGGACAGCCUUCAGCAACAUGGCCGUCGGUUACAACAACGUUGAUGUCGAUGCUGCCAACAGGAAUGGCAUCGCCAUCGGCAACACGCCUGUAUGUAACACACGGAAUUUAUUUGACUGACAAGUGCCUUUGAUAUGAUGAAUGUUGCUCUGAAGUCCGAAUCUCGUGAUUGCCAUGAUGAAUGGGUGUAUGCAGGGUGUUCUUACCGAGACGACGGCGGAGCUGGCGGCGUCGCUGUCGGUGGCGGCUGCCCGGAGGAUCGUUGAGGCCGACCAAUUCAUGAGGGCUGGCCUCUACGACGGAUGGCUUCCGCACUUGUGAGUGCUAGACUGCUGUACUAUUAAUCCAGCUUGAUUUAUGAGCAGCAUAUAUACAUCUAUACGAAUCUAUUUAAGAUAUACGGAUUGAAUGAGAUAAUGAAUGCAGGUUUGUUGGGAACUUGCUCAAGGGGCAGACUGUUGGAGUGAUCGGAGCUGGCCGCAUCGGCUCAGCUUAUGCAAGGAUGAUGGUACCACUUUAUACAUCCUCCAUAUAUAAAUCUCAUCUCAAACUAACCUGUUGAGUAUGUAUGAGCAAUGUAAAACCGACUUAAAUUUUGUGUGUGCUAGAUUGAGGGGUUCAAGAUGAACUUGAUCUACUUCGAUCUGUACCAGUCCACACGGCUCGAGAAAUUCGUCACAGGUAAAUUUUAUCGAUCUGCUAGUAGCUUUAUUUGUUCUUGUGUCAGCUAUUUAUGCAUUUGAUGUGGAUUUAAUACAUGUGUAAUAAUAAUGUUUAUAUGAUGCAGCGUAUGGCCAGUUCCUGAAAGCCAAUGGUGAGCAGCCUGUGACAUGGAAGAGGGCCUCCAGCAUGGAGGAAGUUCUCAGGGAGGCCGAUGUGGUCAGUUAAUUAGAUACAAUAUGCACUGGGGCAUUGCAAUUUUCAAAAUACAGAUGAAAAUAUUUACAUUUGAGAUAACGGAACUUUGUUUCUGUUGAUGGCAACAGAUAAGCCUGCACCCAGUGCUGGACAAGACGACGUACCACCUGAUAAACCCUGAGCGGCUGGCGAUGAUGAAGAAGGAGGCAGUGCUGGUGAACGCCAGCCGUGGCCCGGUGAUCGACGAGGUUGCACUGGUGGAGCACCUGAGGGCGAAUCCCAUGUUCCGUGUUGGCCUCGAUGUUUUUGAGGAUGAGCCUUACAUGAAGCCAGGGCUGGCUGAGAUGAAGAAUGCCGUCGUCGUGCCUCACAUCGCAUCUGCAUCGAAGGUACGAACUUGUAUGAUUUGUCGAUAUAUGAACUGGAUUCAACUGAAGUGAAGUAAUGGAUUUGUACAUCCAUGCCAUUGGAAUUUCCAUGCAUCAUCUGAUGGAUUCCACUGUUUGUUUGGUUGACUCCGUGUGCUCAGUGGACGCGUGAAGGGAUGGCGACGCUCGCUGCUCUGAACGUGCUUGUGAGUUUCCUUGGAUGAUGAUUGCUUAAUCAAUCAAGUAGUUCUUAUGUUUAUUAUUGCUAAAUUAGUAGGGAGUAGUUGAUUACUGAUCUGAACCUGAUGGAGCAAGUGUUGGGUUAAAACUGACAGGGUAAGAUCAAGGGGUACCCGGUGUGGGGGAACCCGAACGCGGUGGAGCCCUUCCUCGACGAGAAGGCGGCGCCGCCCCCUGCCUGCCCAAGCAUCGUUAACGCCAAGCAACUCGGUAACUGAUAUAUACAUGUCUCUUGCAGUACCCGCCUAGCUCUCUGAUCUUAGUUAGCUAAAGACAUGUUCUAGCUUGUAUUGACUAUUGAUUGGUGAUGUUGGUUGCAGGCCUGCCAUCUUCCAAGCUUUAGGCAGAGGCAGAGGCAGAGAUGGAUGAAUCACUGCUACUACUACUACUACUUGCUAAGAUGCUAUGCAUAUAUAGCUCCUUACCAGUAUAUAUGUAUGAAUGCCCUCAUCCUCAUGGAGUAGCAGUACUGAAUGAAUGAAUGAUUAUAUAUAUCAAGCAAGAGAUUUUUGAUCAGUUAUGCAUUUAUUAUAUGUUUCCCUGCCCUGCCCUGCCCUGACCUUCCCUGCAUUACUUAUACCCACUGCUUGCUACUAAAUUAAGCUUGGCAAAUUAUGUUAUGAUGUAUGCUAGAUAUUAUAUAUGCUGUGAUGUAUGAUAGAUAUAUUAUGCUCCAAGGGAAUUACACCACUACUGCAUUAGCAUCUGCCUGGCUGCCAAAGACUAAGAUAAAGAUAGCUUUCUUGUUUGUUUGUCUUGAUAUAUUUGUGGACCUUCAUUUGUUCUUUUUUUUUGGUCUCACUUUUUCUUCUCUUUUUUGAAUUCACAAACAUUGUUCAAUUUUUGAACAUUUUGUAAAUUCAUAAACAUUUUCCAAAUUCGUGAAUAUUUUUUGAAUUAAUAAACUUUUUCUAAAACCUUUCUUUUCCGCGGAGAACUUAUUCUAAGCUUGUGGAUACCAAAUUUGCCACAGUUUUUCAGAUUUGUGAAUAUUUCCUAAAUUCACGAAUAUUUCUGAACUUAUGGAUUAUUUCUGACAUUCAAGAACAUUUUUUGAAUUCGUGAACCGUUCAAAAAAUUUGUGCUCUCCUUUUCAAUUUGUGUUCUUUUAAAUUCAUGAACAUUUUUAAAAGUCAUGAAGAAUUUGCCAAUAUUUUUAAAAUCCAAAAACAUUCUCAAAUUAAUAAAUUUGUGAACCCUUUUCUAAUUUGAGAUUUUUUUAAAUUAUCAUUUUAAUUUUACAAGCAUUUCUAAAGACUAUGGUUUAGAAUUUUUUUCAUAAUCUGAUGUUUCAUUUGACGGUCACCGGGGUGCGUUUACGUGGCCGUCAUCAACACUUGAAGUUUUGGCUGAUUCUGGCCCCGUUUCAUGGACCAUUACUCACUGAUUUGGGGUCCCUGAGCGAUUUCCAUGAUUAACGAACCCCGGGGUGCGUGUCGGGGAUAUAACCCACAGUAUAAACCGCCGGAUGUAUGACCCGGCUAGAGUUUGGCAAUUUGCUGGCGACCCACUUGGACUUGGCGGUUUACGAUUCAUUGGUAAUCCGACAGGCGGGUCAGAGGAGCGACAAGACCCGGUCGCCCAUCGAGCGGUUUAUGGAAGGCCGGAUCACGCUAUGGUGGGCCGAUUUAAGAGGAAAGGCGUGAGGAAUAUUUACUUUACAAGGAAGACCCGGACUUGUAUCCGGUUUGUAUUAGAAGAGAGACUAGUCCUAAUCCUAAAACGACUCCACAUGUAACCCGCCCCUCUAACUUAUAUAAGGAGGGGCAGGGCUCCUCAAAGAGGGACAAUCAAGAAACAAUCUCUAGGGCUAGACACAACUAGAGGAGAGCCGGUUUACGGCGACUCCCUCGUGAUGAUAAUGAAAUCUAGCCUCAAACAGCAUGUAGGGUUGUUACCGGAUGAUGUUUCCCAGGGCCCGAAGCUGUCUAAACCCUUGUCUUGUAUUGCGUCUCUCGAUACCGCUCAACCUCUCUCAAGCUACCACAUAGAUGCGUUGGCCUCACGAUUAAGUCCUCACACUAAGGACAUCUAACGUGUUAAUUCCAUGAUAGUUGGCGCCCACUGUGGGGCCUGCGCACGGUGGUGUUGAGUUCUUGGAGGGAUCUUUUCUGAGGAUUGAGAAGCUCGUGAUGUGCCGGAUUAACGAAACCUGUACGGAAGGAUCCACAUCAUCUACACAACAAGCGGUUGGAAUAGCAGAGACCAGAUUCAGAUGAAGAAUAAUUAGGGUUUGAUGUUGUGUGCGCCGCCGCCGACGCGACACGAUCCGUCAAAACCAACGGCAGCUUAAUUUCGUUUGGACGCCGAGUCCUGCAAGCGGUCAAAUCCUAGGUUCUAUCAAGAUCGACAAAAAUUUCUGCUGCUGUCCGAUCUGCCGAGUUCCACAAAAUUUCUGCUGCCGGCUCAAGCCCUGAGGAAAUCAGGCACUACUGCUUGCUAUGUACUCCCUCUGUAAACUAAUAUAAAAGCGUUUACGAAGAAAGUACUGGAGUACGUACUAGUCCUGUACACUAGUUUUUCUACUCCACGUGAAGAUCAUCAGCAGCACAAACCUCCAAACGUCCAUUGAAUUACUUGAGAUUGGUCCGUUUUCUGUUGUCGUUAUCCGUGCGCAUAACGUGUUCACACACAAAGCAGAGUACAAGUUCCAGUCCGAGUCGUGACAAAAAAUAAAAUAAAAAAUUGCGUACAAGCGGUCAACAUCUGCUGCCUAGGAACUUUGGGUCCAAGUAGGAAAGAAAACCUGCAUGCAAGGGAUUCCUUUACCGAGAGUUCCUAGGCGCCGCUCGUUGCGGCAAAUUGCCGAGCGAACGCACAGGAGCGACUCCAGCUGGGCCGGCCCAUUAGCGCAACACGGUGAAAAAUCCAAAAAAAAAUCUGCUUGAGGGAGGGAUUGAACCAGGAACCUACUGUUAGCUGGGAAAGAGCAUAGCCAACGUGCUACAUUAGCUUUCUUGGUUAACAAUGCCGCGCGAAGCUAGAAGUAAUGUAGGUCCAAACAUUUUGUCAAAUUCCCAAUGCGGACAUUAUUUUGAAAAAGUGUUUAUUUUUUAAAAGCGAACACUUUUCGAAUUUGACAUGAAAAACCUAAAAAUCUCCAACAUUUUCGGAAUAUGUGAACAAAGUUUGAUAAACUGAACACUUUUUUGAAAAUCAUGAACAUUUUUGAAUAUGUGAACAAAUUUUUGUUAAAGGGAACACUUUUUGAAACUCUGAACAAAAAUUUGGAAACGCGUAUGUUUUUGGAAUCCGAAAACAAAUUUUGAAACAAGAACAUUUUUUCAAACUCAGAACAAAAAUUGAAGAAACAAAAACAAGUUUUCAAUUUUCAAACAUUUUUGAAAAAAGGAACAGUUUUUCUGAAAUCACGGACAUUUUUUAAAACUGUGACAAUAUUCUUAAAAACGAAAAUGGAAUAGGCGAAAAUAAGAAGAAAAAACGAAAAAUGAAGAUGAACAUUUUUCGAAUUCAAAAACAAAUUUUGGAUACAUAACCAUUUAAAAACGUGGAAAAACCUGAACAAAAAUGGAAAAUUUAAUCACUUAUACAAAAUUUUGAUUUUUUUUUGAAACUCCCAAACAAAAUAGAAAUAGACACAUUUUCGAAAAUUGCAAACAAAUUUUGAAAUGGAAACAUUUUUUGAAACUACAGAACAAAAUUGCAAGACACGAACAUUUUUCAUAGAAUUGUGAAUGAAUUUGGAAAGAGGAACAUUUUUUCAAACUCCAGAAGAAAAUUUGAAAACGCGAUUAUUUUUUUAUAAUAUGAACAAUAUUGAAAGGUGAACAUUUUUUCUACGUAUGCGAACAUUUUUAUGGAAAAUGGAGAAAUGUUUUUUGAAUUUGUGAACAAAAGAUAAUAACAGAAACAUUUUUGAAGUUUUGAGAAUUUUUUUGAAUUUUUGAACAUAAUCUGAAAUUCUCAAGUACAAGAAAGAGAAGAAAAAGGAAUUACAAAGGAAUAGAAAAAAUGAAGUAAAGAAACAGAAAUUCGAGAAACUAAAAAAAUUGAAACUGCGGAAGAACAAUUUUUUAUAUCUGUGAACAAUUUAUGAGAAAGGGAACAAGUACUAUAAAUGCGAACAUAUUUUAAUUUUUUUAAGAACAAGAACAUUUUUGUAUUUUGUGCACAUAUUUUGAAACGAGAACAUUUUUUAAAUUUAUGAACAAAAUUUGAAAAUGGGAAUAUUUUUUAAAUUUCGAACAUUUUCCAUGUAUCUCAUACAAAAUCUUUAAAAAUUGAUUUAGAAAUUAGAGGUAUUUUUUCAAAUUAGCAUACAUGUUUGAAAAAUGUGAACAUAAUUUGAAAAUAAGAACAAAAUUUUGAAUUCUAAACAACAUUUGAAAUUUACAAACAUUUUUUGAAAAAAGUAAAAUAAACUUGAAAACUGAAAAAAGGAAACGAAAAGGGAACAGAAGAAGAAGGAACAGUAAAAAAGAGAAACUAAAGUCAGGAGGAAAAAAAAGGUUCCAAAUUGGAACGAACGAACUGGUUGACUGGGCCGGCCCAGUAGCUUCGCUGGUGCCCUUUCCUCUGUGCGAUACGGCGACAAUUUGCCGCAACGCGCGGCAAAUAGGGAUUUCCUCCUUUACCCAUGCGGAGAUCAAGGAAAAGAAAACCAAGAGAAGAGAAGGCUACGUGAGAUAAGGGCCACAUCAGAGAUUAAUCAGCAUCUGCGAUUUUCCACAUGCCUGCACCGACGAGCAGCCGCAGCGCCUUGCCUCCGUCGGCCGUUCUGCUGGUCUGCGCCCCCACGACCUCAAAAGCCGGCCCUACCAGGGACCGCUGCACGGCGGGUCAAUGGCCUCCACCUCUGCUGCCUGAGUCUUCACCAAGUAGUCUUAAGCUGCCGCUCGUUCGUCCCUGAGGCACCGUUCCGAAAAAUUACCUCCGCAGUGCUGGCCUCCACUACGCCGCUGCGACCAGUGUCUGAGCCACCCGGCUUCAAGUGGUUGCCUGCAAUGACACGACGGCCUUGAGUCGCCGCCGUGGCCUCACCCGCACUGCCGCACCUCAAGCUGGCCCGGUCUCGCGGCCGUCUCAACCGUAGCCUUGAGCUGCCGUUUUCGCUAACCCGCUGCCUCACGCCACGCGUCGCUGCCAUUUUCCAUGGUCUGUGUUAAUGAGGAAAUCAAGUUUGUCGCCCUGGACAAAAGAAGAUGAAGUUUCAACGGCUCGCCCGAAGAUAUUGGGUCACCGAUCUGACCGAGUCACCUCUACAGUGUUGAACGGAUCAUUUAUUAUCCGGACGAAUCAGGUGAAUUUUGUCCGGUCAACCUUUUGUUAAUAUUUUUUUAACAAUUACUUUGGUCUGUAUAUUUUUAUGUGCAGCAAGGGUGGUGCCAUGUUGUGCCUAUGAAGUGUACGUCAGCACCAUCAUGCACCGGGCGUCUGCGCUCGCUUACUGAUGGAACAUGUGUGCGUAAGUCGCCGCCCGUGCAGCUCAAUCUGCAUCAACCCGCCGGAGCCGCUUUGAGCCGCCGGGGUUAUAUUAAGUCGCCGGUCUGCCUGAGCCGCCGGAAUUAUAUUGAAUCGCUGGUCUGCCUGAGCCACCUCUGUCGCGAUAAACGGGUCAUCCGUCAUCCAAACAAAUCAGGUGAUAUCCAUCCAAGUUUGUUUUAUUAGCACAUGCUAUUUUUGUCAAAAAACAAGUUUAUCUUUUCCUUGGUCUGCAAUAUUGUUUAUGCAUGGCAAUUAUUUAUGACAACAAGUGAUAUUAUACCGCGGAGAUGGAGGCACGCCAACAUCUUUUGGCACAGGUGGUCAUCGUUACUCAACGGACUCCCGCACCGGCUUACAACGCCGUGGCCGUCUCUCACGACCGCGCCGGCUUACAACGCCGCGGCCGUCUCUCGCGACCGCGCCGGCUUACAACGCCGUGGCCGUCUCUCGCAACCACACCGGCUUACAAUAAGGACAACUUGCCCGUCCGCACCGACUUACAAUGCCAUAGCCGGUUCAUCUGUCUAUGCCGCCUCAAAUGUUGCAGUCGUUUUUACCGUCCGUCUCUCGUGGCCUGGUCUACAUCAAUGCACCGAGCCGCACUUGUCUGGAUGAGCUGUUUAUUGAGUAUGAGCAAGUCACUACUUGGAAAGCCCGGUUUUCUUCUAACAAAUUGGAGGCAAAUUAUCAUAUAUUAUCAACCGCCGUCUGCAGUAGAUGGAUCAAUGGACAUGCGCACAAAUCGCUGCCACUACAGUUUGGUCCACUUCAAACAAUCAGUCGGAAGGAACCAUUGGCUGAGUUGCUGACACGGCUCAUACGGGAUCAUUUAUUACCCGCCGCAGUCACCUCAACCUUCUGUGGAUUUACAUCGUGCUAUCAACACCAAUGACAUACAACUGAUACCGGUUUAUAUCGCAGUCAAAUACGGGGAAUCUCAAGCCAACUUCUUGAGUCAUCUUAAGACUCGGGGGCUACGAUGAUAUGAUGCAGCAAGUCUUGCCAGUCUCAGCAAAUUCAAGUGCCCCAGGAUGUUGAAGGGAAACCUGGUCCCGGAGGCUACUGUUAUAUUGAUGAAAAUUUAAAGGCCGUCAGAAAAUUUCCGGCUUAGAAAGGAUAUGACAGUUACAAAAUCCCGGCUUAAGGAAGAAGUUCCGUGUCAUCAGAAAGGAUUCCGGUUUAAAAUCCGGUUCAAGGGAAAUCUGUUCUCCCACAAAGCUAUGACGCUCUGAAAUCCGGUUUAAGAAUGUCCGGUUCCAAAAUAUUUAACUUCUCGCAAGUUCGAGUUUAAAGGCCGUCAGAAAAAAUUUCGGCUGAAAAUAAAGAUUCCGGUUUAAGGUCCGGUUCAAGGGAAAGAUGUCUCACAUAAAGCCCUGACGCUCUCAAUAUCCGGUUCAAAAUCCUGGUUCAAGAAGAAUUUAUUUCUUGCAAAAAGUUAAAGGUUGCUGAAGAGGACCUGUUGCCAUGAUACACAGUUCAAACAUGGGUAUCCCGCCUUAUUGGCUUAUCAUAUUAUUGGUUACAUGGGGGCUUCAGCUGACAAAGCGGAAUUCUGUCCAUUAAUCCGGCUAUCACGCCACAACAAAGCUUGGGAGCUUCACACCCAAGGGGCCAAAGAGAGUCUUGUUGCUACGCACAACUCAAACAUAGGCACCCAUUGAGCACAGCUCACAAAGUAACGUGGGGGCUUUUUGUGUAAAGUAACAAAGAGUUUGAAAGGACCCUUGUAAUUGGGUAUCGACCCACGGCUUGGAAGCCUGGUGUAUUCACCUAAAACCCCGUGUUAACCUGCCUUCAUCAAGUAAGCCACUCAUAUACAGGUAAUCCUGGCAUGACCCACCGAACGUUUGACAAGUUACUCUCAUAGAGACCCUGAACUUGUCAAAGUUAAAACGACGAUUGGUUAGUUGGAGGCCCAUCUUAAAAGGCUUUGUAAAAUGGUUUAACUCAGCGGCCUGGCAGCCCACGAAAAGCCUCGAAUUUGGGCCUGGCAGCCCUCGAAAAGCCUCGACUACAAGUUUUAUUUGCUUUUGCUUUUUGCAAAGUUUUUUGAUCAAGUUUUAAAUUAACCCGGUGUUUACUGACCCGGCCAGACUAUAUGUCAUUACAUCAGUCCGGCGUUUCUUAACCCGACACAAUCUUUCAACUAUCAGUUGUUAGUACAAACUCAAUUGUAAACCGGAGUUUUCUUAGCCCGGUCUGGCGUUGAGUAUAAGUCGCCAGGAUGAUUAUCCGGUGUUUAUUACAACCCGACACAGUUUUAUUACAAACCGGCAAAAUAUGAGGGGAGUUAUCAUACUCAAGAUUUGGGUUAUCACCCUUACUACAAAAAGUUGGUAAACCAACAAUGUGAUUCAAUGUCACAGGUAUGAUAUAUUUCAUAUUUGAUUAUUCUUAAGUGCACCUGUCGGUGUCAAAACCGGCGGAUCUCGGGUAGGGGGUCCCGAACUAUGCGUCUAGGCGGAUGGUAACAGGAGACAAGGGACACAAUGUUUUUACCCAGGUUCGGGCCCUCUCGAUGGAGGUAAAACCCUACUCCUGCUUGAUUAAUAUUGAUGAUAUGGGAGUACAAGAGUAGAUCUACCAUGAGAUCAAGGAGGCUAAACCCUAGAAGCUAGCCUAUGGUAUGAUUGUUGAUGUUGUAGUUGUUGUCCUACGGACUAAAACCCUCUGGUUUAUAUAGACACCGGAUAGGUUAGGGUUACACAGAGUCGGUUACAAUGGUAGGAGAUCUACAUAUCCGUAUCGCCAAGCUUGCCUUCCACGCCAAGGAAAGUCCCAUCCGGACACGGGACGAAGUCUUCAAUCUUGUAUCUUCAUAGUCUUGGAGUCCGGCCGUGAUGAUAGUCCGGCUAUCCGGACACCCCCUAGUCCAGGACUCCCUCAGUAGCCCCUGAACCAGGCUUCAAUGACGACGAGUCCGGCGCGCAUAUUGUCUUCGGCAUUGCAAGGCGGGUUCCUCCUCCGAAUACUUCAUAGAAGGUCUUGAACACAAGGAUAGUGUCCGGCUCUGCAAAACAAGUUCCACAUAACAUCGUAGAGAGAAUAACUUUUGCAUAGAUCUACUGACGUAUUCCGCGGCGUGACAUCACACCACGGCCAGGCCUUUAUAUGAAUCGUUUUUACUGUUCCACCUCAGCGUGUUUAGCGAGGUAGUUUCCUUGGCACGUCUUAUCAAAGCAUAGAUCGUGCCCCCCUUAUUCCGGGAUUCUCAUCAAUACGGACGUGGGUAACCCAUCCACGCCAUUGAUUACGGCGCUUGGGGAAUAAGCGAGUUUUACUAGGUUGGUGGGGGACGCAUAGCUUCGUCCGUCCAUAUAAGGGGAUAAGGAUCCACCUUUUCACCUACGCCUUCUUCCUCCUUUGCUUAUCCAUUUCCCCGCACUCGAGCUCUAGCGCCCAAGUCCGCACAUCCCACCUCGACCUUUCUCCAACCAUGUCAGGAGCGGGAGGCAGGUGGAUGGCCUCCUCCGUCAAGGAAGGGCACAUCACCAAGCUGCGGGAGGCCGGAUACUUGUCCGGCAACAUCGCGUACAGGCUGCCCGAAGCGGGGCAGCUCAUUCCAACCCCCGGGCCCCAUGAGAGGGUAGUGUUUCUACCCCACUUCCUCCGCGGACUAGGUUUUCCACUUCACCCUUUCGUCCGGGGGCUCAUGUUCUACUACGGCAUGGACUUCCACGAUCUGGCCCCGAAUUUCAUCCUCAACAUUUCGGCGCUUAUCGUCGUGUGUGAGGCCUUCCUCUGCAUCCAGCCCCACUUCGGCUUAUGGCUGAAGAUCUUCAAUGUUCGGCCGAAGGUAGUGGGCGGCCGCCAAGCGGAGUGCGGAGGCGCCAUGGUUGGCAAGAUGGCCAAGGUCCUAUGGCUCGAGGGCGCUUUUGUGGAGACAAUAAAGGGGUGGCAAUCGGGGUGGUUCUACAUCACCCAGCCACGCGACCCUGAAUGGGCGGCGGCCGCCGAAUUCAGAUCUGGCUUCCCCACACGGCUCUCGUCAUGGAAAGAAACGGGCCUGACGUGGGGGGAUUCGGAAGAGCUAUCCGGACUCCAGACAUGCGUCCAAAACCUGGUGGACAAGAAUCUCAAGCUUGUCGACGUAAUCCAAGUGAUGCUCAUCCGCCGGAUUCUCCCCUGCCAACGACGGGCCUUUAAUUUAUGGGAGUUCGAUCCGGCACAGUACCGAACCUUGAGCCGGCUCUUCGACACUACGUAUGAAGAUGCCUGGAAGGUGCUGUUCAAGGGCGCUGAAGCGCCAACAUCCGCUACCAAAGAUUGCGGGUACAGUGCAUGACGUCCAGCCGGCGAGGUAAGUUAUUUUACCCUUUACGGGACUCUUUUUUCAUAGAUUGACUCUAUGCGGGAUCUAAAACUCCCUAAUUUUGACAGGACUAGCUGAAGACGGCCGAACAGAUUAACUGUCCGGCUCCUUUGCCGGAAGACCCGGAGGACGCCCGAUUGACGGGGCUAUUGGCUCCGGCGCCUCAUGUGGUGCCGGAGAAGAAGGCCAAGAAGGAGGCCACGGGAACUCGAAGGAGUUCCCGACGCCAAGUGCUGUCAGGUUCUGAAGCAGAGUCUUCUCCUGAGGAUGAGGAGGAAGAAGAAGAAGCUCCUCCCCUAGUGAGGGAGGAGAAGAAAAGGAAGGCCGCCCCAACGGGGGUGGCCGGAGGGUCCAAGAAGGGAAGAACCCUUCCUCCGGACUUCUCCACCAACGUCGACGACGACGAGGAGGACUGGCCAACAAGGACCAAGCCCCUGGCGAGAUUGUAAGUGUCCGGAUACCCAUGGUUUUUCAUAAUUGUAUAGUGUUCUCUAAUGCCGAACAAUCAUGCAGCCCGCCCAAGGGCGAGCUCGCCAAUUCAUCAAGCGGGUCCCUGGGCUCGUCGGAAAUGGAGAGUGCCUCGCCUCCGACCGCCUCCUCGCCUCACGCCGCGGACGACACCGCGGUGGGGCCCCAAGGAGGGCUUGGUCAAGAGGAGGUAGCGCAGGAGGCGCCACAAGGCGACCUCCCGGAUUCCAGGCGCGCGGGGGGCAAGACCCCCAGGGGCUCUAAGCCCAACCCUCGUCCGGACUCCAUGCCGGAACCAUCAGCGGUUCUGAAGUCCGGACAGCGGAUCCUUCGCAAGAAGGGUAAGACGCCGGUGUCCUCCGUCCAACCGGAGGCACCGGAUAGCUUACUGGAGGCGCUCAACGGCGCCUCCAUCGAGGAGGAGCACCGCACUAUUAUGAGUGCGGUGAUCCGGACAGUUCAGUCCGCUAAGAGCGGACUGACCGAAGCCUGUACCAGCCUUCUAACAGGCUUUGAGGUAAGUUUAAAACAUAUAAAAAUGUUACCGCAUAGACAGUAGCCCCUGAUGCUUAGUUCGGUGUUCGGAAAGAAAAGCCGGACUGAGGAUCUAAAAAGAUAUACGCAGGAGUCUAAUAUAAGUAUGUCAAUAUGGGAACGCAGGCUGUGCUGCUGACCUCUGCCACACUGACUGCGGAGGUCAAUACAUUGAAGCAAAACCUCGAGCGUUCCGAGAACGAGCUCGGACAAGCCAAGAAGCAGCUCGAGGACAAGGAAGGUAAGAAAUGCCUUAUUAAAGAAAUACCUUAUGGAAAAGGUUUUGGUUGCAAAAAAUAACAGAAAUAACAUGGGUACCGCAGGGGCCACGAACGAGGUGGAGACCCUGAGGGAAGCGGUGGCCGUGGCCGAAAACAAAGCGGCUGCGGAGCGCACCGAGCGAGAGAAAGGGGAGGCGCAGCUGGCGGAGGUGCGGCAAGAGCUCCAGAUUCUCGUGAAGAAACACGAGGGUUUGGAGCGUGACUCAAAGACCCGAGAGUCCGAGCUUGCCUCGGCUCUUGAGAGUGCCAAAGCUGCUAAGGCCGAGGCCCAAAAAGCCCUCCAAGAAAUCGAAGCACUAAAGAAGAUAGCGGCGGGUAACGCAUUCUUUAUGCAAAGCAAGAAUGUAAAAGUCAAUUACCUAUUACUUACCCGGAUUCGGAGCUCUCCAAGAGCAUUCACAUAUUUGCCCCGUAGUGCGUCUGAUGCUGCCGCGUUCUACCGCGCCCAGGAGGGGAGCUCCAUGGAGAAGGUGUUCUGGUCUCAGUAUGCUGAGGCCGGACAUCCGGUGCCCCUAAGCGACCAGCUGAAGCAGCUGGUCGAGCUCCACAAGGUCGCCGAACAGGCCAUGAGGGGCCUUAUAGAGCGGCUGUGGCCAUUGGAGGCCAUGCCCGGGAGCUACUUCGGCUUGGUGCAGCGGCUGGUGGAUGCCUGUCCGCGGCUUGAAGUUAUCAAGCGCUCCGUCUGCAUUGAAGGGGUCCGUCGGGCCCUUGCCCGUGCUAAAGUGCACUGGGGGAAGCUGGAUGCGGAGAAGCUUGUGACGGACGGGCCACCGAAGGGCCAUGAGCAUCGCACGCCCGGAAUGUAUUAUGAGGGCCUCCUGAAGGGUGCUCGCCGAAUAGCGGAUGAGUGCUCCAAGGAUGUAAUUUUUGAAUAGACUCGUGUUUGUUAUUCUGUACGCUGAAAACUUGUUCAUAUGCGCUAAGCAACGCUUAUUAAUUUAAAAUAUUACCUUCUGUGCGGCCGUUUAUCAAAUUUGAGAGAUGGCAAGUCGUUGGCUUCAGCCCCCAUGCCACGAGUGCUGGGGUGUUCGGGAUAAACUUGAGCGCUCUUGUUCCCAUCCUUGGGUCCAUCUAGGGAGGCGCUCAACACAACGAACAAGGCAACCGGACUUAUAAUGCUUGAACACUCUCACUUAGCCAUAGAAUUUUAUAAUUUUAAAUUUCGGCGAAGCCUCUAGUAUUCGGAAGACCGAGUUCGGGGCGCUAUCCACGCCUUGGCCGGAUAAUUCCGGUUCCUUGCUCUAAGCGGCAUAAGUCUUUAGGGACCCGAAAAAACCUCUCGAACAGCUACCGGCUCUCGCCUUAUCAUGACGGUCAGUUUUGGCUUUCUCCACUGAGGUGCUCGACCCAGAAUAACUGGGGCACAAUCGCAGUGGUUCUCCCAGUGCUACCUUAGCCGAUAUAGCGGAACGUAAGGUACCAAAACACGGGAGCCGGGCAAACCCAACUAUUGACCCAAGACAUGAUUCGGAGCCAAUUCAUAUAAUGCUAUAAGUUCGGGGUGCCGCACUUGUGAAAGUGUUCGGACUUUAUCACACCAUAAUUUUGGGAUACUUGAGCCCCUGGUGUAUUGGCCGUACCAAAGUGUACGGUUGCAACAUGUCGUGAAAUGAACAUAUGUAUAUAUAUAAAGGAAUUAAAGCAAUAAUAAGCAAGAGCUAUGUAUUGUUUAUUCAAAAAGGUACUUCAAUGGAAGCAGAACGAUACAAAUAGUGCGGUAAGCAAGGGAUGGGACUAUCUAACAUGUCCCCCUCCAGGUGUAAGCUGCGGGAUGGUAUUUAAAACAGGUAUAAUGCUCAUAACAGAGACCACCUGAGCACUUGACGUGGUCUUCCGCUUCCUGGCUGUUGCAUCGUGAGUUUGGCGAUUCAAGUGCCGGACAGGACUGUUCGAAGACGGAGUCCUGAAAGUAAAAAGAAAAGAAAAAAGAAAAAAGGAAAAAAAGAAAUGACACAGACGGUAGCCCCUGGGGCGGUCGAGCCGCACUCUUGGCGUGCCGUUGUCUUGCCCCUCCCCAUAUGCCCAUGGUAUCUCCAAAGCAUAACUAUGUACGCUUAAUACUGGGUUCGCAAUUUCGUGAGGGCUGGGGUUGGGGCCGGAUUGCUACUCAUGCUUGAAUCGUGCCAGGUGGUCUUGUUGCAGGUUACUUCGGGCGCGCUUGGCAGUGUCCGGACGCUUAGUAGCCGGACUCGAGAAUUGCCGUGAGAGGCUGCUUUGCACCUCCGCCGCGAGGGCCGCCGUAUGCUCCUCCGUCCCGAGAGAGUGUUCGGUGUUUCCAUUAACCGUGAUUACUCCUCGAGGGCCUGGCAUCUUGAGCUUGAGGUAUGCGUAGUGCGGUACCGCAUUGAAUUUGGCAAAUGCGGUCCAUCCGAGCAGUGCGUGAUAGCCGCUGCAGAAUGGGAUGAUGUCGAAGAUUAACUCUUCACUUCGGAAGUUAUCCGGAGAUCCGAAGACCACUUCAAGUGUAACUGAGCCUGUACAACUGGCCUCUACACCCGGUAUGACGCCUUUAAAGGUCGUCUUUGUAGGUUUAAUCCUUGAGGGGUCAAUGCCCAUUUUGCGCACUGUAUCCUGGUAAAGCAGGUUCAGGCUCCUGCCGCCGUCCAUCAGGACUCUAGUAAGGUGAAAUCCGUCGAUAAUUGGGUCAAGAACCAAUGCGGCGAAGCCGCCGUGACGGAUGCUAGUGGGGUGGUCCCUUCGAUCGAAGGUGAUCGGGCAGGAAGACCAUGGGUUGAACUUUGGGGCGACUGGCUCCAUCGCAUAUACAUCCCUUAGUGCACGCUUCCGCUCCCCUUUGGGUAUGUGGGUUGCGUAUAUCAUGUUCACCGUCCACACUUGCGUAGGAAAACCCUUCUGUCCUUUAUUGCUCGGCGGCCGGGGCUCUUCCUCGUCAUCGCUAUGCAGCCCCUUGUUAUUGAGUUCGGCACCUAACUUGCCUGCUUGCUUGAACACCCAACAGUCCUUGUUGGUGUGAUUGGCUGGGUUUUUGGGGGUGCCAUGUAUCUGGCACAAGCGGUCGAGUAUUCGGUCCAAGUUGGACGGGCCCUGGGUAUUUCUUUUGAAUGGCUUCUUCCGCUGACCGGGUUUAGAGCCUCUGAAUCCGCCAUUGACGACCGUGUCUUUAGUAUUAUCACCGUUAAUGCGGCGCUUGUUCUUGUUGCGACGCAGCCUGCCAUUGUUGUCCUUGGUAUCCGGACUAUCAGGAUGUUUGGCCAAGUUGGUGCUUCGAGCUAGCCAGCUAUCCUCUCCCGCACAAAAGCGAGUCAUGAGGGUUGUGAGGGUUGCCAUAGAUUUCGGCUUUUCCUGUCCUAGGUGCCGGGCAAGCCAUUCGUCACGGAUGUUAUGUUUGAAGGCUGCAAGGGCCUCUGCAUCCGGACAGUCAACGAUUUGAUUUUUCUUUGUUAGGAACCGAGUCUAGAAUUGUCUGGCCGAUUCUUCUGGCUGCUGAAUUAUGUGGCUAAGGUCAUCGGCGUCUGGUGGUCGCACAUAUGUGCCCUGGAAGUUAUCAAGGAAUGCGGCUUCCAGGUCCUCCCAACAACCAAUUGAUUCUGCUGGCAAGCUGUUGAGCCAAUGCCUAGCUGGUCCUUUAAGCUUCAGGGGGAGGUAUUUGAUGGCAUGUAGAUCAUCACCGCGGGCCAUGUGGAUGUGGAGGAGAUAAUCCUCGAUCCAGACCGCAGGAUCUGUGGUACCAUCGUAUGAUUCGAUGUUUACGGGCUUGAAGCCCUCUAGGAUUUGAUGAUCCAUUACUUCAUCUGUGAAGCAUAGUGGGUGUGCGGCGCCUCUGUAUUGGGCUAUAUCACGACGUAACUCAUACGAGCUUUGUCUGCUGUGUUCAGCCCGGCCGGUUUUGCUGUAUCCGGUGCGACGGUAAUCAUCCUGUGUUGCUAGGCGCCCACGCGAUCCGUAGAUCGACAUUGUAUGUUUUGCCUUAUCCUCCAAUAUAUCUCGCAAGUCCGGCAUGUUUUCCUUUGCCUUGGUACUUUUUGAGCGGCGUCGGGGUGUGGCUUGAGCGGAGGGCCGAGAGGCUUCUCUGUCGCGGCCAUGAGGUGGCCGGUCUGCCAUGUCGUGUACUGGCGACUUUUGUGCUUCCUCCUCUAGUCGAGGCAACGGCCUGCGUUUGGGGUAGCUUUUGGAGGGGCGUUCGAGUUCAUACUCUUCGGCUGCAAGGACUUCAGUCCAUCUGUCAGCUAGCAGGUCUUGAUCAGCUCUAAGCUGCUACUGCUUUUUUUUGAGGCUGCUUGCCGUGGCUAUAAGCCUGCGUUUGAAACGCUCCUGUUCGGCGGGAUCCUCAGGCACGACGAAUUCAUCAUCGUCGAGGCUUGCCUCAUCUUUGGAGGGAGGCGCGUAAUUCUCGUCCUCGACCUCUCUUUCUGCCGCACUAUCGUGCGGACUUGCUUCUCCCUCCUCCUGCGCUGAGUCCUGCUGGAGGGGGUUCUCUUCGGCACUGUCUGGAGUGCUAUUAUCUCCCGUGCCGGAAUCACUGUUUUUAUUGUGACGGGAUUUAGAGCGGCGCCGCUGACGUCGGCGCUUCGGCUGUUUCUUGGAGGGGUCAUCGUCCGUUGUUCCAUCGUCGUUCCCAUCUUUCGGGAUGUCCACCAUGUAUAUGUCAUAUGACGAGGUGGCCUUCCAGUGCCCUGUGGGUGCUGGGUCUUGGUUGUCUCCGGCGUCAUCGUCCAUGCCGUCGAUGUCUUCGGAGUCAUAGUCGAGCAUGUCGGUUAAAUCAUUGACAGUGGCUAUAAAGUGGGUGGUGGGUGGGCGUUGAAUUUCUUCGUCGUCCGCAUCCCAACCUUCCUGUCCGUAGUCCGGCCAGGACUCUCCGGAUAAAGAGAGAGACUUUAUUGAAUUCAGGAUGUCGCCAAAGGGCGAGUGCUGAAAGAUGUCCGCGGCCAUGAACUCCAUGACCGGUGCCCAAUCGGAUUCGAUUGGCCGGGGCGCGGAGGGUUCGGAGUCCGAAGAGGAGUCCGGCACCCUGGAGUCGAGGUCCUCGCCAAGGACAAGGAUGGAGUUCGGCUCGAUUGCCGUAGAGAUUGUAGCCCCCGAGGCGGUGUCCAACCACUCGUCCUCGAUCGGGGAAUCCGGCUCCGGAUUAAGGGUCAGAGCGAAUACUGGUGCGGCCUCCAGGGCACUGUUCGGCUACAGAGCGAGAUCAUGCCCAUCGAGACAGUGCGGCACGCUUGGCUGCGGCUCGAAUCCGUCGAAGAUCAAGUCCCCGCGGAUAUCGGCCGUAUAGUUUAAACUUCCAAAUCUGACCUGAUGGCCAGGGGCGUAGCUUUUGAUCUGCUCCAAAUGGCCAGGCGAAUUGGCCCGCAGUGCAAAGCCGCCGAACACGAAGAUCUGUCCGGGGAGAAAAGUCUCACCCUGGACCGCGUCGUUAUUGAUGAUCGAAGGAGCCAUCGGGCCUAUCGGUGACGACACAGAGGAACUCUCAAUGAAAGCACCAAUGUCAGUGUCAAAACCGGCGGAUCUCGGGUAGGGGGUCCCGAACUGUGCGUCUAGGCGGAUGGUAACAGGAGACAAGGGACACAAUGUUUUUACCCAGGUUCAGGCCCUCUCGAUGGAGGUAAAACCCUACUCCUGCUUGAUUAAUAUUGAUGAUAUGGGUAGUACAAGAGUAGAUCUACCACGAGAUCAAGGAGGCUAAACCCUAGAAGCUAGCCUAUGGUAUGAUUGUUGAUGUUGUAGUUGUUGUCCUAUGGGCUAAAACCCUCCGGUUUAUAUAGACACCGGAUAGGUUAGGGUUACACAGAGUCAGUUACAAUGGUAGGAGAUCUACAUAUCCGUAUCGCCAAGCUUGCCUUCCACGCCAAGGAAAGUCCCAUCCGGACACGGGACGAAGUCUUCAAUCUUGUAUCUUCAUAGUCUUGGAGUCCGGCCGUGACGAUAGUCCGGCUAUCCGAACACCCCCUAGUCCGGGACUCCCUCAGCAGCCCCUGAACCAGGCUUCAAUGACGACGAGUCCGGCGCGCAUAUUGUCUUCGGCAUUGCAAGGCGGGUUCCUCCUCCGAAUACUUCAAAGAAGGUCUUGAACACAAGGAUAGUGUCCGGCUCUGCAAAACAAGUUCCACAUAACAUCAUAGAGAGAAUAACUUUUGCAUAGAUCUGCUGACAUAUUCCGCGGCGUGACAUCACACCACGGCCAGGCCUUUAUAUGAAUCGUUUUUACUGUUCCACCUCAGCAUGUUUAGCGAGGUAGUUUCCUUGGCACGUCUUAUCAAAGCAUAGAUCGUGCCCCCCUUAUUCCGGGAUUCUCAUCAAUACGGACGUGGGUAACCCAUCCGCGCCAUUGAUUAAGGCGCUUGGGGAAUAAGCGAGUUUUACUAGGCUGGUGGGGGACGCAUAGCUUCGUCCGUCCAUAUAAGGGGAUAAGGAUCCACCUUUUCACCUACGCCUUCUUCCUCCUUUGCUUAUCCAUUUCUGCGCACUCGAUGCCUGUCCACGCGGGAUAAGUGGAGACGUAAAACCAGAGUACGUGUUCAACGUGUACGUAUAUUCGAAUCGUUUUCUUUUCUUUUUCUGUUUAUUUUAAAACCAGAUAUUUGACUAAACUUUGACUGGCUAUAUCUUUUAAAAUAAAACUCCAAAUGAAUUGAUUCUUUUUCCUACCUCUCUCAAAUAUUGUCUAGUUUAUUUUAAGAUUUAUUUCAAAAAAAUUCAGACAACUUUUUGGUACUGUUUUUGAAACUAUAUAUUGAUUCAAAAAUAUUUUUAAUAGGAUUUUUGGAGAGAGGAGAAAGUUUUCAAAGGUUUUGGAGUGCACCCUGCCUCCCCACAACCUGAAGGCAAGCAUUCUGAACCCUGGCAUAAUAUUAUGUGUGUUAUUUGUACGGAUACAACACCACCUCGACACGGAGUAUCCGUUAUUUCGUGUGAUGACACGUUUCUACUCAUGAGUGCAUAUUGAUGAAAACAUGCUACUGGAGUUAAAUAGGCUUGCGAUAAUAAUCACCAUCGAAGGCCUUCCAUGCAUACCGGAAGGAAUACGGGAAAGCCUCUGUCUUGGGUAGACACGGGUUUGUCCCUAGUCCUCCGUCGAGACGGUUGUGUCCGAUACGGCAUGGUGAGGUAUGUCGAGUGGUGAUUCUGUCUGUUGGAUGAAGUAUAUAUUGUCAUGCUAAUCAUGCAGGGAACAUUUAAACCUCCUGAGUCGACCAUAGAUCGAGUCUUGUUCCGGUAACCCCCUUACUUGUCUCGUACUACCACUUGUCCCUGCCAUAGGUAGGGUACGGUUCAGUAAGUUGUCAACCCCUUUCCUAGCACACACCAUACAGAGAGGCCAUGGUGGAAGAUACAGAAGGCAUCCGGUAGGCAUGCCACCUGGCUCGGGGGCAUGGGUGUUUCGGUUCUAGCCGAAGGGGUAGCUCCCCUAAUUUGCGCGCGGUAUAAGUUUUGUGAUCCCAUGCUAAGUCGAGGUUGUAGCCUCCCCACUUAGAGUUUCGCUUAACAGGUGUUGUGGGUGAUUCCAGACACCGGUAAGUUAGGCUGGUGUGUGCGGAUAGGUGUGUUUUCAAUCAAAAGGCCGUAAACGGAAUUAGUCCCGAUGGACUAAAGGAAUCCAUUACUCGUGGGUAAAGAGUACACCCUCUGCAGAGAUUAAAUCUAUUCGAAUAGCCGUGUCCAUGGGUAAGGACUACAGUCUGGGAUGAGUCAAGUGUCGAUCUUAGUGUCGGUCUUCGAAGGAGAAACAGUUAAACCAGAACUUGGAUCUUGACUUGUGACUUGUGAUGAUCAUGAUUAUUAUUUGUUAUGGUCUAACCCGUUAUAUUAUUUGAAUUAUCGAGUAUCCCUGGGAUGGUUCUACCUCUUGGAUAUUCACUGUGAUUAUUUAUAAGCUCUUUAUGUGGUGUCGCUGAGACGCCCGACUGUGGCAUGCUUAAUGUUUACAUUAUAAGCCCUUUACGUGGUGUCGUUGAGACGCCCGACUGUGGCAUGCUUAAUGUUUACAUUAUAAGCCCUUUAUGUGGUGUCGCUCAGACGCCCGACUGUGGCAUUCUCGUUGCUUACUUUAUAAGCCCUUUAUGUGGUGUCGCUCAGACGCCCGACUGUGGCAUUCUCGUUGCUUACUUUAUAAGCCUUUUAUGUGGUGUCGCUCAGACGCCUGACUGUGGCAUUCUCGUUGCUUACUUUAUAAGCCCUUUAUGUGGUGUCGCUCAGACGCCCGACUGUGGCAUACUUAAUGUUUACAUUAUAAACCCUUUAUGUGGUGUCGCUUAGACGCCCGACUGAGGCAUGCUCGUUAUUUACUAUCCACUCGAGGCGUCGCUUCAGACACCCGAUCGGUGUAUUUUAUUACUACUCGGUUAUUACAUUUUUAUGGUUGCAUAUAAAUAACCUGCUUGCAUGCAUCAGGGAUUUCAUUUUUAUAACUAGCGUUGUGAUCAUAAAAUACUUCAGAACAUAAUUAUCGUUGUUAUAUUAUAUCCGUGUUCAUAAUGUUUGUGAGUACAUUCAAAAGUACUCACUGGCUUGUCCCUGGCUGUUGUCUUGGCCAGAUUCCUUGCACGGAGAGGAGCGAUCAUGGUGACAACCCCGGAACCUAAGCAAUGGUGAUAGAAGCCUCGCGAAGAUAGGAGUUAUCCUGGUCAGCUGUUCCUGUGGGAAAUGGAGUCCCAUAGACGCAAAUGAUCCACAAACUGCUUUCGCCAUCAACCACUAGAAACCAUUUGUUGUACUCACAGGCCAGAAUGGUUUUGUACUACAUAUUUUGUAUUUUGCUUGGAAUUUCUGUAUCAAGUUGGUGCCUCAUCAGCUAACAGUAAUCCUGGGGCUGGUGAGCACAAGGGCCAUUUUCUGGAAAUUAAUACCCUGAAAACCGGUCGUGACAAAGGCUUUUCUCCUUUAGCUUGCAGAAGAACCUUUCUGUGAUGGAAGUGGUACAGGCAGAAAAUUUGUAGCAAAUGUUUUCUUUACCAUUGUCUGAACUGGCUUUUAGGGAGUUCAAUCAGUUAUCAAGCUUAUUAUCUGUGACUUCCUUGGACAAUGGUUGUAAUGAUAUCUGGACUUGGAGGCAUGGGAAAAAGUGAAGUACUCAGCAAAAAAGUACUAUGAUUUUGUCCACCAGCCUGUUCCUGCCAAUCCUAUUCUGAGCUGGGUUUGGAAGAGUUGUUGUACCAUGACAAUUAAAACGUUUGCCUGGCUGGUAAUUAUGGACAAAGUUAACACCAAGGAUAUGAUCCAAUGACGCCAUUAGAGAAUUGAUGAUGGACCUAGUUGUGUCCUAUGCCCGACUGGAGUACUUGAGGAUAGGAACCAUCUGUUUUUUCCAAUGUAACUUCAGUAUGAGAAUCUGAAACUAUCUACAUGUUUGCUGGUUGGAUAGCAAUGAUAUGGUGCAAAUUGCCUUACAUGCCAGGAAGGAGUUUAAUAAGCCUUUUUUCUCAGAGGUGGUAUUUCUUGCAUGGUGGAAUAUUUGGAAAGUUCGGAACGACAGGGCUUUUAGGCAUGUCAACCCAACUUUUAGGCAGUGGAGAAAUGGGUUUAUUCAUGAUAUUACUCUUCUUUCACACCGGAUCAAGACCAGAUACAAGGAAGCUCUACUCAAAUGGAUUGAUUUCCUGCCCCCUUGAGGGCCAUCUUAUUUGUAUCUUCUUUCUUUCCUAGUUGUAGAUUUUAGUGCUUUUCCUUUCUUCUUUUUAGAUUUCUUUAGCCUUUCUUGUACAGUUUUUCUGUUUCUUUGUUCCUCCUCUUGAGGAACCUUGUAUCUGUACCUUGUUCUUUUCUAAUAAAAUAAUGUGGGGUGUAAGCCCUGCAGUCUUUCAGGUCAAAAAAAUGACCAAAUAAUCCAAAGUACUUAACAUUUUCAUACUAUAUUUGGAGGCUAAAAGAAACAUUUAAACACUAGCACAGGCAUACUACAACAUAUACAGGACAAAAAAAGCAGAGCAUGUACCUUGUGUCUGCUCACCGAGUGAUUAAAUAUACUUGAACCUGCAAACAAACAAGAACAAAAGGUCAAGUGAAGCUUAACUAAAAAUCAAGCAUCUGCAGACAACAGUAAACAACAUGCUAAUCUGCAAUCCUAUAGCUCUAGACCAUGACUGCAGACAACAGUAAACACCUCUAAAGUUGGACCAACAAAUCCAUCUACAGUCAGUACGAGAACACAGAUCAACUUAAUCUACGAAAUUAUUCAUCAACAACAAAGCAACCCUAAUCUAGCAAACAACCAUUCUACAUCCCAAACUGCACUCACAGAUAUCCCCCCAAUCCGACAAUCUAGAGGAAUCAAAAUCACAAACAAACCCUAACACCUCAAUAACAAGGCUGCGGAUCUAGCUACAAACACCGAGACACUGCAUCAAACAAACCCUAACAAAUCGAUUCCAACUACAGUCCCGACCACUGCAUCCAACAAAAUCGACCACAACUCGGACACAAACCCUAACACUUUGAUUCAUACUACUCAAAAAACACCCAAAUCAAUCCAAAACCUAAACCAACACAGAGACACGGGAUGAACUACAAACCUUACACACGAAUCCGAGACGAAGAUGGACUUCACCCCCACCAAAAUUUCGCUCCACCUGAUGAAUCACCUCUUCGUGCACCAGGAUGAAGAUGGUUUCCGAAAACGCGAGGCAGCACCACUUCGAGAUGAUCCACCGGAGGAGCCGACGCUGUCGCGCGACACAAACCCUAGACGACCGCCGGGAUGGAGAGCGGAUUGGCGACAACGAAGAGAGAGGCGAAAUGGGGAGAGAGGUGAAGUGAUCAGAAAGGGGAACUGACUGGGGAGAGAAAUGGGAACCAACCUCUCGACCGAUGGGCUACCGGCGCAGUUUUCAAAAAUGAACAAUGCCAUGGGUCCCACAAAUCUGCCAUAGAUCCAAAGGGCACUUCGGUGGGAACACAACACAGAGACUCACAGCCCUCCAUCGCGCGACGGACGACGGGGACAACCGCGUGUUUUCUUCAACAGAAACACCCAGGUGUCAUUUAGCAAUUCCCAAAAAUAUACUAACAAUUAUUAGAUUUAGAAGAUAUGAUUUUGGUUCUUCGAUGGAAAAUGAGGAUUGGGAUAGGGAAACCCCUCGCUCGCUCGCUAUGUCUGGAUAUUGGGAUAGGGAACUCGGACUCAGAGUGCGGAUAGAUGAGACAGGGACAGGUGACGUCAUCCGGAGCAACCGUCGAGUCCCUAACGCGCGCAGGCCGCCGAGCCCGAGCCCCCGCCGAUGGGAGCCUCUCCUCGUCCGUGCGGCCCGUGUAACCGUGUGGGGCCGGUACGAUGGUCAACGCACAGUCACAGCCGCCGAUCUUUUUUCUUUUUUUUUUUGAAAUUGGCACAUGUAUAUAUUGCUCAUUGCCCUUGCGGCCUGAUAAUAAAAAAAGGUGAGUUUAGAAGCAUUACUGCUCUUCUGCUCUAAAAUAUGUAAUUAUUACAUAGCACUCCCUCCGUUUCAAAUUACUCGUCGUGAUUUUAGUUAAUUCUUGUUAACAAAAUGGAGCACUUGUCUUAGUUAGAACCGCCUCAUUGUCAUUGCUUCCCAUUAGAAAACAAACUCAUUUCUCCUUUUCAAAAGAAGCCAACACCAUAAAGUGGUAGAUGUGUUGAAGUGCACCGCGGGUAUAUAUAUGUCCAGGUUUUUGGAUCAUGUGAGUAAGGGCAGCAUCUGCUGGUGGCCUUGGCCCCCCAAAAAAGUCCAGAGCUGCUCUCUUAAGUCUAACACACUUCCAACCGAGUCAGCCUUGCUUGCAUUUUACUGCUCCAUCACAUCUCACGUUUGGUUUCCAAUCUUUUCUUUUCUCUCCUGGACCACACUCCCUAUACACAUUCUAUAAAAGCUUCAUCUUUUCUUUUACCACAAGUCUUAAUUAUGUGGAUGGUUAGCGUUGAUGUGGAGCCUAGGGCAGUACGCCACGUCAUUCUGUUAGGGAAGCCCUAAUAACCUCCACUGAAGUGACAUGACAUUCGUCUCUCUGCACUUGAAUCUUUUCCCCGAUCGAAGAUCCGUGCAAAGGGGCGUUCCAAGCUGAUUCAACCCCAUGCGAGCUUGUUUUCAGUUAUCUUCUUCUUAACUUAAAAAGGUUUUCCUUGGUUAGAAUUGCACCAUUGCACUGGCGGUGCACAGCUUCCCCAACUUAAAAAGAUCAUCCUGUUGCUGUCCUCAUUUGAGCAGCUUGUACACUAAUGACGUAUGCAGCUUUCCAUGCUUGGAGAUAAAUGUCUUGGCUGGCACUUAGCGCGCUGUGUGUCCUGCAUAAGAGUCUCUCUCAGUCAGAACCUGCGCCUACAAGCCAUCGUUAAAAUUAAGGGUUGAUUCAAAUUCAUAAUAUGCAUUUCCUUCCCUGUCUGUUGAUCGAUGCGAUGAUGACCAAUCAGAGCAGCAGACGAGCCCACAGAUCGAGGAGCACACCGGUGAGCUUCUGCAGCCACGUACUCGAGCUCCGGCGUAUCCGGCCGGCCGGCAGAGAGGAUGCGUAGCUCAGCCGCCGCGAGCAGUGGCGGAACGUAAUUUUUCAGAGUGAGACCGGUGACAACGAUGAGUUGCCGCGGCAUGGAGCUGCUAUGAGUGCGCCGAGCGACGCGGAGUGAAAACGUCAAACAGGAGGCGUGUCCUAUCAUGGAUGGAUCGUUGCCUGAUGGUUGCGUGUUAGGGCCUGUUCGGUACAAUAUGGCUAAUUACUAGCUGAGCUAAACAUUAACCAAACUAACAAUGGACCUGGCUACAAAAGUUAGCCCAUCCGUCAGCCCUCCUGUUUGAUGCACUAGAACUAAUUUUGAUUUCCCAAAAAAAAAUAACGAGACCUAAUUUUGACUAAUUUUUAGCUACCUAGUGAUUAGAUCUUGUAUCCAAAUAGACUCUUAGUGUGCAUAAAACAGCACCAUGAACAGGAGUACAUGUAUUUAUAUACUCCUUCCACGUACUCCAUAAAAAGCCAUGUGUUAUAGGAUUUCUCAAGCAACUUUUUCAAAUUUAACUAAGGUGUAAAAAAACAAGUUUACUGUGAAAACAUUGUUAAUGACCUACCUAAUGAUACUAAUUAUGUAUCAUAAGUAUUGAUACCUUUUUAUAUUUACUCAAAGUUAAAAAAAUUAUCUAUUUUCUCGAAAAGCAAGUUUCGUUUAAAGUAUUUUUUAUUAAAAAAAGUUUUGUUACAGUCAAGAAGUAGAAGAAAUAUAAAGUACUCUCGCCUUCCCAAAAUUAGUAUUUAUGCCGGUCAAUAUUUUUUUUAAGUUUAACUAGAUUUAUAGAAAAAUAUUAGCAACUUUUUAUGAAAAUAGAUUCAAUAAUGUCCACCAUCUAAUAAAACUGAAUGAGUUUGGUUCCAGGAAAGCGAGAACAACAUAUAUACAGUUCUAAUUCGGUUUUGGCUACAAGCAAUUUUGGAAAUUGAAAUUGAACAAAAGCGGAUACAAACAAUUGGGCAAGCAGAGAAAGUUUAUAACCGAUAAGCAAAGCACGCUCAACUCGCAUCACAGAUUAGCGGUGCAAGGCUGUGGGGAUGACCACCAAAGCCACGAAACCCACAUGAAAGGAGGCAAGAAAUCGGCAAGUAAAUUGGUGAUAAUAGAUCACAGCAGAGCGAAAAUGACAAAUCAAGUGCCCAAUGCUCAAAAGGACACAAGUGAUGGUUUUAAUUAAAUUCCAGAUAGGCAACAAGACAAAAAAAACAC